rnacentral:lncRNA from 1 species
CGAAGAAUAUGAUUGCUUGCGUUGUGGGAAGAGUCAUGGAGAUCGCCUCUGUACUAAUGGUAAUCGUGGAUGCUAUUGUUGUGAUAGUACCCAGCACUUGGUGAGAGAUUGCCCCUGCGUAAAGAACCCAGUAGAUCGUUGGUGCAAGGUCGAGUAUUCGCAUUGACAACUCAGGAUGCAGAAGCAACCCCAUAAGUGAUACAAGGUACAUU